rnacentral:rRNA from 1 species
GACGAACCGUGCGAGCGUUAUUCGGAAUCACUGGGCUUAAAGCGCGUGUAGGCGGGCCGCCACGUCGGCUGCUGAAAUCCCCCGGCUCAACCGGGGAACGGGCACCGAUACGAGCGGCCUCGAGGGGGGUAGGGGGGUCUGGAACUUCCGGUGGAGCGGUGAAAUGCGUUGAGAUCGGAAGGAACGCCCGUGGCGAAAGCGAGGCCCUGGACCCUUACUGACGCUGAGACGCGAAAGCCAGGGGAGCGAACGGG